UGGGAAACUUGAACGCGUCGUUGAUUUCUACUUCAGUUCAUUGUUGUGGAACUGCCAUUAUUUCCUCUGUUUAUUCCUACGGAAUUGUUGUUAUGCCUGAUCCAGUUUAUAGCGGCAGAAUUAUUGUUGUUAGCCCAAAAUGCAAAAUGAAAAAUGUUUGUAUAUUGAUGUCAUGCUUCCUGUUCUGAACAAGUACCUGUUCAAGUUUAUAUAGUACCUCAGUUCUGCUUCUGCAGAAUUAAUGCACAAUGAUUUAAACAUUGCUCCUUUGAUUCAAUAUAUUAGCAUCCAGACUGAGCCCUGGGGCUCCUCUUCAGAUGCUGCACUGCAUAGGAUUGAUGUUACCAUACUUACCAGAGAAGAACCUUUCUUGGUGUCAAUAAUUGGCUAGGUUUAUGCAAAAGAAUGCAUUAAUCUGCUGCAACCAAGACUGAAAACCAUGUGUACCAUGUGUGAGAUAAAA